AUAAUGAUAACUCAAUUGAUGAACCAGUAGAAAUUUUUUCUACUAUUCAUUCCUGCUCUGGCCAGAGACUCUCAGAGUCAUCAUCCUAUGAGAUCACAUAGGAUGUUCUCUUCUCCUACAAGGAGUGACCAAUUCUUUGUUAACCACUCACAACCUCCAUGCAAACUUCACCAUACCUAGAAUAUUCCACACACAUCUCAAAGUGGCAUGCUAG
rnacentral:lncRNA from 1 species